CAUCAGAGGCAGCAGUGUUUCUCCUGCUACAGCACAACUCUGAAGGAUGUCUCCAGCUGUGAUAGCAUUUAUCCUCAUCUUGCUUUCAUAUGGAGCUGAGAGUGUGGAGUUUGAGCCAACUCAUCCAAAAACAGUCAACGACAAAGACAGGGUAGAAAUUGAAUGCAGUCAUGAUAGCAACCUGGAUGUAAUGCUGUGGUACCAACAAACUGAGAGAGGUCUGAUGCAUUUCAUUGGAUACAGCUACACUGGCAGUGAGCCCAACUAUGAGAAGGGGUUUGAAAAGCGGUUUGAGAUAACAAGAGAAGACGUAAGAAAAGGAGCCCUGAUUAUUCCCAGUGUGAAUCUAUCACACUCGGCUGUGUAUUUCUGCGCUGCCAGAGAACACAGUGAUGUGGUUUGGAGCCACUCCCUCACUAAAACUCCCUCACAUGGUCUCUUCACACAGACUCUCAGUGAAGACAGUUCCUCCUGCAGCACAGAGAACCUGGACCAUGUCUCCAGCUGUCAUCGCAUUGCUUCUCCUCUCACUAUCAUAUGGAGCUGAGAGUGUGGAGUUUGAGCCAACUCAUCCCAGAAUAGUCAACGACAAAGACGGGGUAGAAAUUAAAUGCAGGCACAAUGAUAACAACCUGGAUGUAAUGCUCUGGUACCAACAAGCAGAGAGAGGUCUGAUGAAAUUAAUUGGAUACAGCUAUGGCAGUGAGCCCAACUAUGAGAAGGGGUUUGAAAAUGGAUUUAAAAUAACAAGACAAGACAAGAUGAGAGGAGCUCUGAUUAUUCAAAGUCUAAAUCUAUCAGACUCGGCUGUGUAUUUCUGCGCUGCCAGAGA